rnacentral:rRNA from 1 species
UGGGGAAUUUUGGACAAUGGGCGCAAGCCUGAUCCAGCAAUGCCGCGUGCAGGAUGAAGGCCUUCGGGUUGUAAACUGCUUUUGUACGGAGCGAAAAGGUCUGCCCUAAUACGGUGGGCUCAUGACGGUACCGUAAGAAUAAGCACCGGCUAACUACGUGCCAGCAGCCGCGGUAAUACGUAGGGUGCGAGCGUUAAUCGGAAUUACUGGGCGUAAAGCGUGCGCAGGCGGUUAUGCAAGACAGAGGUGAAAUCCCCGGGCUCAACCUGGGAACUGCAUUUGUGACUGCGUAGCAAGAGUACGGUAGAGGGGAAUGGAAUUCCGCGUGUAGCAGUGAAAUGCGUAGAUAUGCGGAGGAACACCGAUGGAGAAGGCAAUCCCCUGGAACUGUACUGACGUUCAUGCACGAAAGCGUGGGGAGCAAACA